rnacentral:rRNA from 1 species
CAGUCGCCACGGUAAUACGUAGGUGGCAAGCGUUGUCCGGAAUUAUUGGGCGUAAAGGGCUCGCAGGCGGUUUCUUAAGUCUGAUGUGAAAGCCCCCGGCUCAACCGGGGAGGGUCAUUGGAAACUGGGAAACUUGAGUGCAGAAGAGGAGAGUGGAAUUCCACGUGUAGCGGUGAAAUGCGUAGAGAUGUGGAGGAACACCGGUGGCGAAAGCGGCUCUCUGGCUUGUAACUGACGCUGAGGCUCGAAAGCGUGGGGAGCAAACAGGAUUAGAUACCCGAGUAGUCCCUGUCUCUUAUAC